AUUGAACGCUGGCGGCAGGCCUAACACAUGCAAGUCGAGCGGAUGAAGGGAGCUUGCUCCUGGAUUCAGCGGCGGACGGGUGAGUAAUGCCUAGGAAUCUGCCUGGUAGUGGGGGCUAACGUCCGGAAACGGGCGCUAAUACCGCAUACGUCCUGAGGGAGAAAGGGGGGGAUCUUCGGACCUCACGCUAUCAGAUGAGCCUAGGUCGGAUUAGCUAGUUGGUGGGGUAAAGGCCUACCAAGGCGACGAUCCGUAACUGGUCUGAGAGGAUGAUCAGUCACACUGGAACUGAGACACGGUCCAGACUCCUACGGGAGGCAGCAGUGGGGAAUAUUGGACAAUGGGCGAAAGCCUGAUCCAGCCAUGCCGCGUGUGUGAAGAAGGUCUUCGGAUUGUAAAGCACUUUAAGUUGGGAGGAAGGGCAGUAAGUUAAUACCUUGCUGUUUUGACGUUACCAACAGAAUAAGCACCGGCUAACUUCGUG
rnacentral:rRNA from 1 species